AAGAUUGAAUCAGAGCUGCAUGGAUCAGCAUGGAUAAAUCACAAACACGUAACAUGCUAUAAAGAAAAGCAAGUUUUAGAAGGAUUCCAUUAAUAUACCAUUUGUAUAAAUCAUGAGAGUAGACAAGCCAGUGAUCCAUAUUAUUUACGGAGACGUGUAUCAUGCAAGAGCACACAAACCCACACAGGCUUGGGCAUGACAGACACCAGACUCAGAAGUGCAGCAGCCUUGGGCCAGGGGCAGGGAUUGGGACUGGGCCAAGUUUAUCAGGGCUUCACCUGAAACUAUAAUGUUUAAUUUCAUAACCUGAUUGCUGGGUACCUGCGGUUCAUUGUGUUAUUAGUCACAUGGGUUAUGUCCAAAAUAUUUUAUUUUACAAGAUCUGAUAUCCGAAGAGAACCUAAGAGGUGUGUUUAUCCAGGAUUCCUCUGCAGUCAGAGAAUCAUAUUGGAGGCUCUAUUUCUUCACUUGAUUUGUCUUCAAGUUGCAGAGCCUGUGGUAUGUGGUGUCCCUUUGCAGAACCCCUUGGCAAGCAUUUUCCCAGAGUGAGUCACCUCUUCUCAGAGCACUGCGAGACAGGUUCGUGCAGCCCUCCUCUUGCAUGAAACCUUCUUGGAUUGCCUCUGGUGGUGGGCCUGAUGCCUCCCUGAUGAUCUAGAUGUGGUCCCUGUGGCUCUCUUCCCUUUCUUCCUCAUCUCUUAGUCCUGCCUCUCACUUGGUGAUCUCUGAGAAAAGCUCACAUUUGCACAAUCAUGUACAGUUGUAGUAAACAUGUGCAUGUGCAUUCUUACUUUCAAUCCCCACAACAACCCUAUGACCCAGGAAUAAGUUUAUACAAGAAAGCAAAGCCUGAAGAAAUUAAGCACCUAGCUCAUGGGGUGGGCUUAGAGCCAGGUGGAAAUCGAAUUCAAGCCCUCUGAGUCCCGCAAUAGCUGUAAAAACAAUAAGUUACACUUAGGUACAAUUCACUGUAGGCGAAGCACUGUUCCAUUAUCUCAUUAAAUCCUCACAGCUAAUGUAGGAGGUAGGUUGCUAUUAUUGGUUCCAUUUUAUGGUUAAGAAAACUGAGGCACAGUGAGGUUAAGUGAGCGUCCCAGGUUGUCACAGCUUGUUGGCUCUGGAGCCAGGAUUCAAACCCAGGCCAUCUGAUGCCAGACAUCAUGGGCAUAACCACCAUGCUACACUCCAAACCUGGUGAACCUACCAUUCCAACUUAUGGGGGACUCUGUUUCUCCAUCACCAACCAUUUAAUCCCUAAAGCCGGGAACAAAAGUCUCCCUGCCCUAGGCUGCGUGUUGUGAGUUAUUCACUACCAGUUGGCUCACAUUCCAGGCCUCCCAGGACUUAUCUCUUAACCCCACAGUC
rnacentral:lncRNA from 1 species